UUUGGGCGCCGCCCGAUGGUUCCGGGCAGCGGCCGCGCGGCCUAAAGGCCCGGGGGCGGGUGGGACCAGAGGCCGUCAGUGAGCGCCAUGAGCGGGGCCUGAGAUACAGAAUAAACCGCCCCCACCCCCUAAAACACACAGCCUUCCCUGCACAGGCUUCAGAGCCAAACACUGCAAUCCAGGCGGAGGUCCUUGAUGAAACAGUAGAAGUUGGUUGGGAAGAAGUUUAACAGAUUUAGUAACUUCCAAAGCGGCUUCAGAACAAAAUUAAAUGCAGAUAUGAGACAAAAUCGCGAAAUUACAAAGAUGGGAUAACUUUGCCUCCGAGCUAGCACACAGUCGAUGGGCAGAAUGUCCAGGGCUGUCUUACUGCGUGAUUUUUCCCACAAACACAUUCCCAAUUUAAAGCUGAUGAGGAAGAUCUUUGGUAAAAACAGUCCCUCAGGAUGCUCCAGGUCUCACUGUCCCCUUCCUGAGUCUGACCCUCCCGGGGAGAACGUCCAGAAAAACCUCUGAAUCCAAUCCUUCACAGAUUAGUAUUAAUUUUGUGAUGGAUCUGAGCCAUUAUCUCACCAACCGCCCCAGGACAAGAUGAAGAAAUGCAGCAGUUGUACUAGAAGAGGGACUGUCAGGAGGUGGUGUGGAUGAACAGGUUUGCUCUGGUCCCCACUGUGACUGUGGUAGCUACACCAGAAAUCCACUCUUGGUCAUCUUACAGAGAUGUCCAUGACAAACUGCGAUGGACCCAGCACCAAAUGCUAUGUGAUUGCGCUUGACAUCAAGAAGCCCUAAGCAAAAGUGGAAUCAGUAGGACCUGGGGUAAUUAUUUCCACUGGUUGGAGUCAUGGCUGGCACAUGGGAGGAUUGUGGCUGUCAGAAGUCAGUCAUCUCCAGGGCAUCUCUGCAGGAGUUCUUCAGGGUAGUGUCCCAAGCCCAACCAUCUUCAGCUGCUUUAUUAAUGACCUUACCUCCACCAGAAGUGGAGACGUUUCCUCAAUGACCAGCAGCAGUCACAACUCUUCAGUCUACAGGUAAACAACACAUACGGACCAAAUAUUGCUUCUGUAGUUCAAUCAUCCCAACAUCCACAAACAAAGCUGCAUCAGA